rnacentral:pre_miRNA from 1 species
AGAGGGAUAGCUGGGUCAAAUGGUGGUUCCAUCCCCAAUUUCCAAGGAAUCUCCAUACUGCUUUCCAUAUUGGCUGCACCAAUUUGCAGUCCCACCAGCAGU